UUGGACAAAGAAGACAGGUGGUUUGAGAGGGAAGUGUAGGAAGCCAUUUAUGUUAAAGAAAAACCAACCUUAAACAGAGGGAGUGGAGCGAUAGAGUCGAUUCCUUACCACUAGCACUGCAACCCUAACCCCUAUAUAGGGGCACUUAAGACCUCGCCUAGUCAGCCAAGCCAACGUUUCCCUUUAACAACCCGCCUUUCAGUGGCAUAGACAGGUAUGGGGCAUUGCAGACUAACAAAAAAAAA